rnacentral:rRNA from 1 species
AUUGAACGCUGGCGGCGUGCCUAAUACAUGCAAGUCGAACGAGGUACUUUUGUAGUAAUACGAGAGUGUCCUAGUGGCGAACGGGUGAGUAACGCGUUGGUGACCUACCCAAAGUGUGGGAUAACAGUUCGAAAGGAUUGCUAAUACCGCAUGUGGUCUUCGGAUUUAGAAACUGAUGACUAAAGGAGUAAUCCGCUUUGGGAGGGACCUGCGUCCCAUCAGCUAGUUGGUGAGGUAAUGGCUCACCAAGGCUACGACGGGUAGGGGACCUGAGAGGGUGACCCCCCACAAUGGAACUGAAACACGGUCCAUACACCUACGGGUGGCGGCAGUAGGGAAUAUUGCACAAUGGGCGAAAGCCUGAUGCAGCAACGCCGCGUGUGCGAUGAAGGCCUUCGGGUCGUAAAGACACUUUUCUGAGGGAUGAGCAAGGACAGUACCUCAGGAAUAAGUCUCGGCUAACUACGUGCCAGCAGCCGCGUAAU